rnacentral:rRNA from 1 species
UAGGGAACCUGCCCAUGCGGCCGGGACAACUUCCGGAAACGGAUGCUGAUACCGGAUAAGGAAAGCGAAGGCAUCUUUGCUUUGUUAAAGGAGCUGCAAGGCUCCGCGCAUGGAUGGACCUGCGGUGCAUUAGCUGGUUGGUGAGGUAAAGGCUCACCAAGGCGACGAUGCAUAGCCGGCCUGAGAGGGCGAACGGCCACACUGGGACUGAGACACGGCCCAGACUCCUACGGGAGGCAGCAG